GGAAGACUUACGGGGACUGGCCGUUUGAGUCUAGCUUGCUGGGUCGGGCAGACUUCCUAGAGGCUAGGGCAGCCACGCGUCCCACAUCCCCCCGCUGCACUGCCUCCAGCAGCUUCUGAUCACGGCGGUUCCAUCUCUCCACCUGGUCCGGAGCCACAAAUUGUCUUGCUCAAGCAAACUGAACCAACCUGAGCACUGCUAAUCGGGUUCACAUUAACUACCACCUCCCCUUGCUGCUCUACCUGCUUUUGUCCUUAGUUAACUGUUGGAGAAGUAAAUGAAGGCACCUAUUUUCGGGUCACAGUAUUACAGGGCAUGAAAGAGAGAGCCAUGUAAAAACAGCCAGGAGUGAAAGUACAGAAAACCUGGUGGUUAGAGAGGGGAAAAGAAGAAUGGAUGAAAGCAAAGAUCUUUGGGAUGGCGUAUUUUGUCAGUUGGACUGAGUUUGGGACCAAUCUGGCUUAGCUGUGUGACCUAGCGCAAGCCAUUAAACACCUCUAACCUGUUUUCUCAUCGCUAAAGUGAGUAGUAAUAACUCUCUCAUUAUGUUAUGAGUAUUGAAUAAAUAAAUAUCUAUAAAAUCUCUUUCUAAACUGUAAAGUCACAGAAAUGCAUGGCAUCCUUAUAACAAUACAGGAAAUAGUAAGAAAUUGGUGGUGGGACCUUAUGUUUUAUGAGAUAUAAUGUCAAUAAGAAAGAGGUUAUAAGAGGAGGUGAAGAAAAAUGGGGUUUGUGGAAGCCCAGUAAUUCAUGUUCAAAUACUGUUUAUACAACCAGGGCAAAUUAUUAAUUAAUUAACUGGAAAGAUUUAAAUACCCAAAACAUAAAAUUAUCUAGGGCAGAUGCAUGUUGAGGUUAUUACUCCUGUACAGCACUUGUAACUCCUCAUGGUCUUUCAAGUACUAUUUCUAUUAGAC